UCCAGCAGCCAUAUAACCCUGCAACUCACAACUGGCAACCCACUGAAGCUAAGCAGGUAUGAGCCUGGUCAGUACUUGGAUCUGAGACUUCCAGGGAAAUACUAAGGUUGCUGCUGGAA
rnacentral:rRNA from 1 species